UUCUUUUUUAUAUAAUUUAAAGUAUUUCCCUGCUCUCUGAAUUUAAAAAUUUGAAUAGCUGCAGUAUACUAAUUGCACAAAGGUAGCAUAAUAAAUCGCAUUAUGAUUGAAUGCUGGAAUGAACGGGAUAACAAAAUAAAAACUGUCUCAAAUACUAAAAAUAAAUUUUAAUUUUUGGUUAAAAUGCCUAAAUAAGAAUAAGUGACGAGAAGACCCUAUAGAUCUUUACCUUUAAGGUUUUAUUGGGGCAAUAAAUUAAUAUAAAUUUAAUUUAAAAUAUCAUUAUAAAUGUAGAAUAUGAACUUUCUAUAAAUUGAAAAAAAGUUACCUUAGGGAUAACAGCGUAAUUUAAACUAUUAGCUCGUAUAAAAGUUUGAGUUUGCGACCUCGAUGUUGAAUUAAGAUUUCUAUUUAGAAGCAGAAGUUUAAAUAGUUAGUCUGUUCGACUAUUAAAAUCU
rnacentral:rRNA from 1 species